rnacentral:rRNA from 1 species
UACGAGUGCCCCAAGCGUUAUCCGGAAUCAUUGGGCGUAAAGGGUGUGUAGGCGGUUGUGUUAGUCUUCUGUUAAAUUCUUCGGCUUAACCGGGGGCAUGCAGAGGAAACGGCACAACUAGAGGAUGCGAGAGGUGAAUGGAACUCAUGGAGUAGGGGUGAAAUCCGUUGAUAUCAUGGGGAACACCAAAAGCGAAGGCAAUUCACUGGCGCACUCCUGACGCUGAGACACGAAAGCGUAGGUAGCGAAUGGG